GAUGAACGCUAGCGGCAGGCCUAAUACAUGCAAGUCGGACGGGAUCCAUCGGAGAGCUUGCUCGAAGAUGGUGAGAGUGGCGCACGGGUGCGUAACGAGUGAGCAACCUACCUCUAUCAGGGGGAUAGCCUCUCGAAAGAGAGAUUAACACCGCAUAAUGUAAUCUUCCGGCAUCGUUAGAUUAUUAAAUAUUUAUAGGAUAGAGAUGGGCUCGCGUGACAUUAGCUAGUUGGUAAGGUAACGGCUUACCAAGGCGACGAUGUCUAGGGGCUCUGAGAGGAGAAUCCCCCACACUGGUACUGAGACACGGACCAGACUCCUACGGGAGGCAGCAGUAAGGAAUAUUGGUCAAUGGGCGGAAGCCUGAACCAGCCAUGCCGCGUGCAGGACGACUGCCCUAUGGGUUGUAAACUGCUUUUGUCCAGGAAUAAACCUAAAUACGUGUAUUUAGCUGAAUGUACUGGAAGAAUAAGGAUCGGCUAACUCCGUGCCAGCCGCCGCCGUAAUAC
rnacentral:rRNA from 1 species